rnacentral:rRNA from 1 species
AGUGAACGCUGGCGGUAGGCCUAACACAUGCAAGUCGAACGGCAGCACAGUAAGAGCUUGCUCUUACGGGUGGCGAGUGGCGGACGGGUGAGGAAUACAUCGGAAUCUACUUUUUCGUGGGGGAUAACGUAGGGAAACUUACGCUAAUACCGCAUACGACCUACGGGUGAAAGCAGGGGAUCUUCGGACCUUGCGCGAUUGAAUGAGCCGAGGGCGGAUUAGCUAGUUGGCGGGGUAAAGGCCCACCAAGGCAACGAUCCGUAGCUGGUCUGAGAGGAUGAUCGGCCACACUGGAACUGAGACACGGUCCAGACUCCUACGGGAGGCAGCAGUGGGGAAUAUUGGACAAUGGGCGCAAGCCUGAUCCAGCCAUACCGCGUGGGUGAAGAAGGCCUUCGGGUUGUAAAGCCCUUUUGUUGGGAAAGAAAAGCAGCAGGUGAAUACCCCGCUGUUCUGACGGUACCCAAAGAAUAAGCACCGGCUAACUUCGUG